rnacentral:rRNA from 1 species
UACGUAGGUGGCAAGCGUUGUCCGGAUUUAUUGGGUUUAAAGGGUGCGUAGGCGGGCAGGUAAGUCAGUGGUGAAAUCCCCGAGCUUAACUCGGGAACUGCCAUUGAUACUAUCUGUCUUGAAUAUUGUGGAGGUAAGCGGAAUAUGUCAUGUAGCGGUGAAAUGCUUAGAUAUGACAUAGAACACCUAUUGCGAAGGCAGCUUACUACGCAUAUAUUGACGCUGAGGCACGAAAGCGUGGGGAUCAAACAGG